CAAUAUGCAGUUUGAUCAUUCCUGCUGCAAAUAGUAUACAUACUGUGAUUCUAUAUUGCAGAAAAGGUGUUAGAUGAUCGAUAUGUGCUAUAAUCUAAUAUAAGCCCCCCUCCAGUGUGGAGAGCAUAAUAACAUGAAUGUAGAGGGAAAGAAGUGUUUCCAAGGGCACAUAAUGCUUCUAGUACACAAAAAUAGGGUGAUCUGUGCCACUUUUGCUGCUAUCAAUUGCACAAAGUAGAUCACAUACAACACGUCCACCAACAGUACAUGCAAUUUUAUAGUUUGCGCACACAGAUAAGUGUGUGGGAAUUGGAUCCUCAAAGAUCAGGCUCUUAAUAUUUUCAGAAAAUGGGAGUAUUAUUAGAAUCAGACCUGCAGCUGGCUCUGUAUUGUUCUUUUUCCUCCUGCCUGACGUGGAUUUCGGUUCUUGCUGAGGUGUGUUUGCUGAUCUUCUUCUGGGUGUGGCUUCUUCUUGAGGUCCAUUUUCUUCUUCCUUUGCUGCUUUUGUGGGCUUUUUGGCUGCUUUUUUCUUCACUGUGCUGUCAGAGUUGUGUUUCCUGGACACCUGAAGUACAGCCACAAUGGGGUUAGAUUUCUAUGUGCUGGUGGUGAUUACCUACUGAAUAUACCUUUUUCUUGCGGGGGUAAUCAUGGUCUGCAUCUGUAUCUUUUCUCUUUUUGGCCUUUGGAGACUUUGAUUCUGGAGCCAUAGGACCUGGAUCGCCCUGAAAUGACACCAUUUUCUAUUAGUCAAUACAUGCUACAAAUAUAGUUGUUACGUAUGAAAAUGUGUUUGCAUACUUUGAACUACAUAGUCCUGCCAUUGUGGUCGCGUACAGACUUCAUUCCAUCCACAUAGUAACACUGCAACCAGGCCUCAAAACCUGAGUAGUCUUUCUUCUCUGGAUCGUAACCUUUCCCACCUCCAUAAACAAAAAGUCUAAAUAAGAGGAGCACCUUUGUGUCGUUGUCUUCCCCCCACCCCGAUCAACCUUGAAACAUGGAUUCUUACCUAAGUUCACCACCUCCAGCGGUACUGUGUGGCAAAGUCUGAGCAGGUCUGUAUUCUCCUCUUCCAUUUUGUCCUUUUUGGCUCCCUUAACAUUUUUGGGCAAAAUAAACUGUUAAUAAUCGAGGUAAAAUACUUGUUUGUACUUAUUUGACCUUUUUGCUAUGGAUCUCCUUUUUUACAGCUUUCUUGUCUUCACACGCAUCCUCUGACUCGAGGCCUUCCAGCACAGUCCGGGCAGGCACAAAGGGUGGAAUGUUCAACCUGGAAGACACACAUGGGCAUCUUUUCAAAAACAGAAGGUAUUUUGUGUGGAAACAGUGCUACACUUUUAUAGUAAACACAUUUCCAAGUGAAAUUAGGAAUUGCUUGUUUAUUCAUCCAAGAUGAUUAGAAUCUGGGGAAUACAAAAACAUUCUUCACUCUCCUUUUCAGAUCACGGUGACCUGAGUAUGUAUCUUCAUUCAAUGGUCAUUUCUUUUACAGCAGGCUCUUUGGUGAAGUGUAAUAUUAUUGCUAGGAGUCUUGCAAAAGUACUUCACACAGUGGGCACGGCUGUAACAAAAUAACACUGCAAUGUACUGUCAACAUGUACAAAACCCCAAACCAGUGAAGUAGCACGUUGUGUAAAUGGUAAAUAAAAACAGAAUACAA